rnacentral:rRNA from 1 species
UACAGAGGUCUCAAGCGUUGUUCGGAUUCAUUGGGCGUAAAGGGUGUGUAGGUGGCGCCGUAAGUCGGGUGUGAAAUUUCGGAGCUUAACUCCGAAACUGCAUUCGAUACUGCGGUGCUUGAGGACUGGAGAGGAGACUGGAAUUCAUGGUGUAGCAGUGAAAUGCGUAGAGAUCAUGAGGAAGACCAGUGGCGAAGGCGGGUCUCUGGGCAUCUCCUGACGCUGAGGCGCGAAAGCGUGGGGAGCAAACGGG